GGUAGGUGUAACUCAGUUGGUUAGAGUAUUAGAUUGUGAUUCUAAGAGUCACGGGUUCAAAUCCCGUCAUUUACC
rnacentral:tRNA from 1 species